AUAGCCAAGAACAAAUAAAGAGGGCAGAAGUCCAGGAAUGUAUUUCACAUAGCCAACCAAAAAAACAUGAAGGCCAAAAACAAAGCAAAACCAGUUACCACUAAUCGUUACCACUAAUUUUAAGAAGAUAAACAUUAUAAAUGACAAAAAAAUUAAGAGUAAAUAAAGCUUUUGUAAAUAUACAAAAGGAACCUGCACACUUCUCAAAAGUCCUUUUUAAAAAAAUCUCUGCAGGAAGAACUAAUUCCUCAGUGCAUCAUUAAAGUGAACCAGUUAAUGUUGAUGAAGCUACAAAUAAUGGCUCAGUUGUA
rnacentral:lncRNA from 1 species